rnacentral:lncRNA from 10 species
UUCUUCCAGGAGCGCGCAUGAGCGGACGCUGCCUACGGGUGGCCGGGCGGGAUGUAACCGGCUGCUGAGCUGGCAGUUCUGUGUCGCUAGGCUUCUGCCCGGCCGCCGCCGCACAUAAGCUGCGAGGAGGAGCUUUACGACUUCCCGGUCUUCGGGGCCGGGCGCAGCAAGGGCCAGACUCUGCGCUAGCAGGCGCUGCGCGCCAACCGGCCGGCACCUGUCGCAGAAGGUGCAACCGAUCGCACUGUCGCGCAGAAGCUCCUCAAUGGCCAGCGCCAGCUGCAGCCCCGGCCGCCCACUCGCCUCAUCUGAGCCUGGCUGGCAGCCUGCUAUCAAUUACAUUGAUAGUAAAUUUGAGGACUACCUAAAUGCAGAAUCGCAAGUGAACAGAUGUCAGAUGCCUGGUAACAGGGUGCAGUGUUGUUUAUACUUCAUUGCUCCUUCAGGACAUGGCUCUGUUCACGGAAAGGGCCUGGGAGCUGCAACACCUCAACAGCAACGAGCACACCUGCUACCUAGAACUUGGUUUCUAAAAACCAUCCUCCUCUAAAAGGAAACAGAGCUCUUUGAAGAAAUGAGACAGAUCUCAUUAUGUUGCCCAGGGUGAUCCUUGAUCUCCUGGCCUCAAGUGAUCCUCCAACCUUGGUCUCCCAAAGUGCUGGGAUUACAGAUGUGAACUACCACACCCAGUCAACGUGCAGAAGGUUUUCAGUUUGAUGUAGUCUGAUGUAGUCUCAUGUAUUUAUCCUUGUUGUUGUUGCCUGAGCUUUUGGUGUGAUAUCCAAAAAUAUCAUUGCCAAGAUCAAUAUCAAGAAACUUUCCCCCUAUGUUUCUUACAGAAAUUUUAUGGUUUCAGAUUUUUCAUCUAUUUUGAGUAUAUUUUUGUGUAUGAUGUAAGAUAAGGGUCCAGUCUCCCCAGUGUUGGAUAUCCAAUUUUCAUAACACCAUUUAUUGAAGAGAUUAUUCUUUCUCCACUGUGUUUUCUUGAUGUCCUUGUCAAAAAUUAGUUGACUUUUAUAUGCUUGGGUUUAUUUCUGGGCUCUAUUCUGUUUCAUUGCUUUACAUCUCUGUUUUCAUGCCAGUGCCACAGUGUUUUGAUUACUAUAGCUUUGUAAUAUAAUUUGAAAUCAGAAUGUGUAAUACCUAUAACUUUGUUUUUUGCUCUAAAGAUUUAUUUAUUUAUUUAUUUAUUUUUGCCAUUUCAGGUCUUUUGUGGUUUCAUAUGAAUUUCAGAAUUGUUUUUCCUAUUUCUGUGAAAAAUGCCAUUGACAUUUUGAUAGGGAUUGUGUUGAAUCUAUAUAUUGCUUUGGAUAGUAUGGAUGUUUUAACACUAUUAAUUCUCCCAAUCCAUGAACAUGAAAUAUCUUUCCAUUCACUUGUGUCUUCUUCAAUUUCUUUCAUCAAUGUUUUAUAGUUUUCAUUGUGCAGAUCUUUCACUUACCUGGUUAAAUUUAUUCCUACAAUUUCAUUCUUUUUGAUAUUAGGGUAAAUUGAAUUAUUUUCUUGAUUUCUAUAAAUUAUUUAUUAUCAUACUCAUACUUGUCAGGCCUCUGGGCCCAAGCCUGCAUGUAUACAUCCAGAUGGCCUGAAAUAACUGAAGAAUCACAAAAGAAGUGAAAAUGGCCAGUUCCUGCCUUAACUGGUGACAUUACCUUGUGAAAUUCCUUCUCCUGGCUCAGAAGCUCCCCCGCUGAGCACCUUGUGACCCCCGUCCCUGCCCACCAGAGAACAACCCCCUUUGACUGUAAUUGUCCACUACCCACCCAAAUCCUAUAAAACAGCCCCACCCCUGUCUCCCUUCACUGACUCCUUUUUCAGACUCAGCCUGCCUGCACCCAGGUGAAAUAAACAGCCUUGUUGCUCAC